rnacentral:rRNA from 1 species
AGUGAACGCUGGCGGUAGGCCUAACACAUGCAAGUCGAACGGCAGCACAGUAAGAGCUUGCUCUUACGGGUGGCGAGUGGCGGACGGGUGAGGAAUACAUCGGAAUCUACUUUUUCGUGGGGGAUAACGUAGGGAAACUUACGCUAAUACCGCAUACGACCUACGGGUGAAAGCAGGGGAUCUUCGGACCUUGCGCGAUUGAAUGAGCCGAUGUCGGAUUAGCUAGUUGGCGGGGUAAAGGCCCACCAAGGCGACGAUCCGUAGCUGGUCUGAGAGGAUGAUCAGCCACACUGGAACUGAGACACGGUCCAGACUCCUACGGGAGGCAGCAGUGGGGAAUAUUGGACAAUGGGCGAAAGCCUGAUCCAGCAAUACCGCGUGAGUGAAGAAGGCCUUCGGGUUGUAAAGCCCUUUUGUUGGGAAAGAAAAGCAGCAGGUUAAUACCCCGCUGUUCUGACGGUACCCAAAGAAUAAGCAACGGCUAACUUCGUG